UCCGACCCUGGGGGCUGUCACCAGAAAGAUGAGCCCCAAAAAUGUCUGGUUUUAAAAAUCAAUAGGGAUUAAGAUCAGGAGAAUCAUAGAAUUACAGGGAAUGGAGACCCAACUCUUAAAGGGGUUGCAAGAAAACCCACUCACCCUGAGAUCCUGGGCAAAAGCAACAGAUUGAAAGUUGCCUAGACCCUAAGGAGACAAGAUGCAAGGACAGGUGAGGACCCUGAGCCCUGCCCUCCCUGCAGAGCGGCUAAGCUGCAACAAGACCAGAUAAGUGCCCCGGCCACACCCUUUCUGCACAGCACCCAAGCUGUAAUGGGCCUGGGUAGGCGUCCUGAGCCCCACUCAUCCAGCAGAGACAGAGUGAGCAGUAACCAGGCCAGGGAGAGCUCCAGGUCCUGCCCUCCUUGCAGUAACCUACCCACAAGAGGGCUGGGUCAGACUUCUGAGGCCCGUUCACCCCACAGAGGGACCGAGCAGCAACUGAGAAGGAGAGAGAGAAGGCACGCACAAGCAGGGGGAGCUGCCAGCAGAGGGAGAGGGAGAGAGGAG